GUAUAAACUCCACGAGUCGAUGAAAUGCUGGUGUAAGUCGUAUUAUUUUGUAUAGUUUUGUUUCAAUUGUGUUGUUCUAAAAAAAAAAGAAAAAAAAAGUGUGAAUUGUGCAAGUUUCGAUGAGUGCCUUUGUUGAACUUUGUGGUUAGUGAAAAACCUGAAGACCACUGAGCUCUGCAGACACUGACAGGAAGGAGCGGCCAUUUUAUGUUUAUGUCGUCCUGUCAUCAGAGACCACAGAACCAGCAUCCUCCUCAGAGACAAGAACAUGCAGCUUCUGCUCCUCUUGCUGUGGACUUUCCUGCUGAUGGACUCCUUUCUCCAAGGGUCUCUGCUGCUCAGUCCAGACCAGUCCCAGUUCUUUCUGGGUCGUUCGCUGAAUCUCCGAUGUGACGAUCCGACGUGGAAAGUGUGGAGGAGAAACCGAAACACCAGGAGGCGCUGUGAUACUGCUGCUGCUGCUGCUG
ensembl:lncRNA